UACGGGGGGGAGCAAGCGUUGUUCGGAUUUACUGGGCGUAAAGGGCGGGUAGGCGGCCACCGCAAGUCAGUUGUGAAAUCUCUGGGUUUAACCCAGAAAGGUCAACUGAUACUGCGGGGCUAGAGUGCAGAAGGGGCAACUGGAAUUCUCGGUGUAGCGGUGAAAUGCGUAGAUAUCGAGAGGAACACCUGCGGCGAAGGCGGGUUGCUGGGCUGACACUGACGCUGAACUGCGAAAGCUAGGGGAGCGAACGGG
rnacentral:rRNA from 1 species